UGAGUACGAGAUGCUACGGCAUCGAAGCAGUCUAUGUCAUACUUCCAAGAAAAGCUUGCACUGUCAAAACAGAUAAUGCCUGUACCAUAACCGACACAGGUGGGUAGGUAGAGUAUACUAAGGGGCGCGAGAUAACUCUCUCUAAGGAACUCGGCAAAAUGACUCCGUAACUUCGGGAGAAGGAGUGCCUUAUUUUUAAGGUUGCAAUAACAAGAUCCAAGCAACUGUUUACCAAAAACACAGGUCUCCGCUAAGUCGUAAGACGAUGUAUGGGGGCUGACGCCUGCCCAGUGCCAGAAGGUUAAAGAAGUCGGUUAGCAUUCGCGAAGCUGGUAACUGAAGCCCUGGUGAACGGCGGCCGUAACUAUAACGGUCCUAAGGUAGCGAAAUUCCUUGUCGGGUAAGUUCCGACCCGCACGAAAGGCGUAAUGAUUUGGAUACUGUCUCGGAGAGGGGCUCGGUGAAAUAGACUUGUCUGUGAAGAUGCGGACUACCUGCACCUGGACAGAAAGACCCUAUGAAGCUUUACUGUAACUUGAAAUUGAAAUUGGACUUUAUUUGCGCAGUAUAGGUGGGAGGCGUUGAAAAUAUUCUUGCGGGAAUAUUGGAGCCAUCAGUGAGAUACCACUCUUGUAAUGUUAGAUUUCUAACUUUAUAUCAUUAUCUGGUUAAAGAACAGUUUCAGGCGGGCAGUUUGACUGGGGCGGUCGCCUCCCAAAUGGUAACGGAGGCGCACAAAGGUUUCCUCUGAACGGGUAGAAAUCGUAUCUAGAGUGUAAAGGCAUAAGGAAGCUUGACUGUGAGACCUACAAGUCGAGCAGGGACGAAAGUCGGUCUUAGUGAUCUGACGGUGCUGAGUGGAAAGGCCGUCACUCAACGGAUAAAAGUUACUCUAGGAUAACAGGCUGAUCUCCCCCAAGAGUUCACAUCGACGGGGAGGUUUGGCACCUCGAUAUCGGCCCAUCGCAUCCUGGGGCGGUAGUACGUCCCAAGGGUUGGGCUGUUCGCCCAUGAAAGCGGUACGCGAGCUGGGUUCAGAACGUCGUGAGACAGUUCGGUCCAUAUCCGGUGUAGGCGUUAGAAUAUUGAGAGGAGCCUUCUUUAGUACGAGAGGACCGAGAAGGACAUACCUCUGGUGUACCAGUUAUCGUGCCAACGGUAAACGCUGGGUAGCUAUGUAUGGAGUGGAUAACCGCUGAAAGCAUCUAAGUGGGAAGCCCACCUCAAGAUAAG
rnacentral:rRNA from 1 species